rnacentral:rRNA from 1 species
GACGAACGCUGGCGGCGUGCCUAAUACAUGCAAGUCGAACGCAGUGGGGACGGGUGAGUAACACGUGGGUAACCUCCCAUCAGAGGGGAUAACACUUGGAAACAGGUGCUAAACAGAUAUUGCUGGAUGGACCCGCUGUGCAUUAACUCGGUGGUGAGGUAACUGCUCACCACGGCCACGAUGCAUAGGCGACCUGAGAGGGUGAUCGGCCACACUGGGACGGAGACACGGCCCAGACUCCUACGGGAGGCAGCCGUAGGGAAUCUUCGGCAAUGGACGAAAGUCUGACCGAGCAAGGCCGCGUGAGUGAAGCAGGUUUUCGGAUCGUAAAACUCUGUUGUUAGAGAAGCGGUAUCUAACCAGAAAGCCACGGCUAACUACGUGCCAGCAGCCGUGGUAAUUC